rnacentral:rRNA from 1 species
UGGGGAAUAUUGCGCAAUGGCCGAAAGGCUGACGCAGCGACGCCGCGUGAAGGAUGAAGUUCGUUAGAAUGUAAACUUCUUUUGUAGGGGAUGAAUGUGCCGUUUUGCGGCAUUGACCGUACCCUGCGAAUAAGGAUCGGCUAACUACGUGCCAGCAGCCGCGGUAAUACGUAGGAUCCGAGCGUUGUCCGGAUUUACUGGGUGUAAAGGGCGUGUAGGUGGGUCUCUAAGUCGGUGGUGAAAGCCCGCAGCUCAACUGCGGAAUUGCCAUUGAUACUGGCUGUCUCGAGGUCGAGAGAGGUUGGUGGAAUUCCUAGUGUAGAGGUGAAAUUCGUAGAUAUUAGGAAGAACACCAGUGGCGAAGGCGGCCAACUGGCUCGAUACUGACGCUGAGGUGCGAAAGCGUGGGGAGCAAACAGGAUUAGAUACCCACGUAGUCCCUGAGCGGGCUGGCAAGGCGCAU